CCAAUAGCGUAUAUUAAAGUUGUUGCAGUUAAAAAGCUCGUAGUUGAAUUUCGGGGUUAGUAGGCUGGUCGUGCCACUGGUAUGUACUGGUCUUACUGACUUCUCCUUUCUGAAGAACUGUAAUGCCAUUAAUUUGGUGUUGCAGGGAAACAGGACUGUUACUUUGAAAAAAUUAGAGUGUUUAAAGCAGGCUAACGCUUGAAUACAUUAGCAUGGAAUAAUGAAAUAGGACGUUCGAUCCUAUUUUGUUGGUUUCUAGGAUUGACGUAAUGAUUAAUAGGGAUAGUUGGGGGCAUUAGUAUUCAAUUGUCAGAGGUGAAAUUCUUGGAUUUAUUGAAGACUAACUACUGCGAAAGCAUUUGCCAAGGAUGUUUUCAUUAAUCAAGAACGAAAGUUAGGGGAUCGAAGACGAUCAGAUACCGUCGUAGUCUUAACCAUAAACUAUGCCGACUAGGGAUCGGAUGAUGUUAAUUUUUUAAUGACUCAUUCGGCGCCUUACG
rnacentral:rRNA from 1 species